AUGCUGUCCCACAUUCUGUGUCUUGCCAACCACCUGAAAUAUCACCAUGAUUUUGACUGUCACCAUGGCAACUGGAAAGUUCCAGGGAAGUUGGCCCGAAGGCAUCUCCCAGGAUGCACCCCCAGCCUCCUGAUGUGCAGCACUGUCUCCUGUGUCUGUUCAGGUUCAGGACUGGGUGCAGGGCUAAGGAUGCCCAUGCUGGACUGGAGUCCACCAGCCUCGUGGGAAACAGUGUGCCCUCCUGCCAUGAAGCCAUGGGUGCCGAUUCCUGUCCCUGGAGCUGGUAAUGAGGGUAGAAGCUCUCCACUGGACCUUCUGAUUUAUUUUCCUUUUAUGCUGUCUCUGGGGGAAUCAUCUAGGUGUAGAAAGAUGAAAUUAUUGGGUCAAAAGUCAUAUAAAAUGUAAGUAGCACAUCCAUACAAACAUAUUCAAGGAGUUUCGUGGAAGGCUUUGGAAUCGCAAAAUUCCAGUUUUUCUUCUUGGUUGAAUCCUCCUGUGAAGCUAGCCAGUCCUGGGUCGUGCACUUUGAAACUCAGGGCAGACCAGCAGCAUUGGAAGCAGGCCCUCAUCUCCCGCCCUUGUGCUUCCCACCCCAGCUGGGUGAGGCACCGCCUGGGGCUCCGGGCCCGGCUAGUCCCCUUCACCAUGCGUCUGGUUUUGCCCUCCCCGCUGCACAGCCGGGGAACCUGCUGUCUUGCCAUCUCCUCCGUGUCCUCUCCUCUGCCUCAUGGCUCAUGAAGUCAUGAACACUGAGAAAUGGAAGAAAUGGUUAAAUCUUUGGAACCAACUACUUCUGCUUUUAUUUUUGUCUCCUCAGAAAUUACAGAUAACAAUUCAUAAGGCAAAUGUGUCAUUAAAGGAAAUGGCCACGGGAACCCAAACCACUGUGAACUUGAGUCACCAGUCACAAUCACACUGUCUGGGGCUUAAUGGCCCCACUUUCCACAGGGACGUUCACACCUAAGCUUUGAAGUCACCCCUCCACCUGGACAAAUGGGAAGGUGCCUGUUUGUCCAACACCCUGUGCCCUGGAAGGCGUGUUAAGAGCAGGCCUUCUGAAGAGAGCCAUUUUUCAAAAACACAAGUGACUGUGUGCCUCCAGCAGCGCUCCUCCUCCAGUCUUCACACCUGCAUCCCCCACCUUCUCCACUGUCCGGUGUCUCUCACGGCUUUCUCCUUCCAUCUGUCCUUAGCCUUCCUGUCAGUCUCCCUACAGCAGCAAAACCCAGGCUCAGGAGGGAAGGCACUAAAUUUUAGGAGGUUCCAACGUUUUCCCCCCAAAGCAAAAAGACAGCCUAGCUUCCUGGAUGCAUCCCAGGCUUUUGCUGAUGUUAAGGUGAUUGCUUGAGUCUUCAAUAUCUUAAAACAUCAGUAGCUGGAGUGGAGAUUUUGGGGACACAAAUGGAAAGGCCAAACACACAGCAGCAGUGCAUGUCACACACGCAGUCAGAGUUGGAUGGCCAGACCCUGAAUCCCACUCAAACGAGGCUGUCUUUCUCCCUCUAGUGACUCCAGGUAACCAUGGCGACAUCAGCAACCCAAUCAGCCUGAGCUCUUCCAUUCCCAGAACGAAUAUGACUCUGCCAGAGUCUCCAUCCGAUCAGGCGGAGCUCAGCCAGGCGUUCUCUCAGGGGGCUGCAGCAAAGACUGGGGCCGGGCAGGGGCCAUCUCAGUGACCUCUUCACUCACAGGUCCAGCCCCAGGCGGUGGGGACAGGACAGCUGAGCCAGCUCCCUCUCUCUCUCCUUUCUCUCUCUCUCACCUCUCUCUCUGUGUGUGUGUGUGUGUGUCUCUCUCUUUUCUCUCUGUAUGUGUCUGUCUCUGUCUCUUUUUCUAUCAUUUUCUGUCUCUCUCUGCCUCACUUUGUAUCUCUCUGUCUCUAACGCUCAAUCUUUCCUUUCUCUGUGUCUCUGUCUCUGUUUCUCCCUCUCCACUCUCUCUCGUCUCUCUCUACAACUCUGUCUCUCCUUUCUCUCUGUGUGUAUCUCUGUUUUGCUGUCUCUCUCUUCCCUCUCCUCCUGUCUGUCUCUCUCUUCUCCCUCUCUCUGUCUCUCUCUCUCUGGGUAUGUCUGUCUUUCUCUCCUCUGCCUGUCUGUCUGUCUGUCCGUCUCUCUCUCUGGUCUUUCCAUGUGGUUUCUCCACUUGGAGUCC
rnacentral:lncRNA from 1 species